UACGAAGGGUGCUAGCGUUGUUCGGAAUGACUGGGCGUAAAGGGUGCGUAGGCGGCCAGAAACGUCUGAUGUGAAAUCCCUGGGCUUAACCUAGGAACUGCAUUGGAUACGGUCUGGCUAGAGUCCGCGAGAGGAAGAUGGAAUUGUGCGUGUAGAGGUGAAAUUCGUAGAUAUGCACAAGAACACCGGUGGCGAAGGCGAUCUUCUGGAGCGGUACUGACGCUAAGGCACGAAAGCGUGGGGAGCAAACAGGAUUAGAUACCCUGGUAGUCCACGCUGUAAACGAUGAAUGUUAGAUGUCGGGGAGGUUACUCUUCGGUAUCGCAGCUAACGCGAUAAACAUUCCGCCUGGGGAGUACGGUCGCAAGAUUA
rnacentral:rRNA from 1 species